rnacentral:piRNA from 1 species
UACGUGCUGUGUAAAACUUGAGGG